AAACUCAAUGCGUCGCACACUGUUCCGUGCCCCCCCCAAAAAAAAAACUCACCCAACCCCCCUCAAUGAAGAUUCACCUUCACACAACGACUAUCACUAUUUCACUAAUACGCUUGCUUGGAGCCACCGCAACUAUUUAAUCCGACAGGACCCACGCUGAGGCAACAUAUUCGCCUUCCUUCCCUCCUCCAGCGCCCCCCCCCACACACACACACCCGCUAUCCCCCACCUCAUCUCACGUUCUGUGUGCCCGCGUGUGCGUGUAUCAUUACGGGUUCUUGUUGCCACCGUGUAUAGCUUGUUCCCUCUCCGCCUCUGCCUUUCACCACCCACCCUCACCACCACCCCAACCACCCCAGCCCAUUCCAAUCGACAUCUCUCCGGCUACAGUAUCUUUGGUGUGUGCUCGAGCUCCUUCAGGCUCUUGUCUUGGUGGCGCCGUGGCAUCUCUGCCUUUUCCUCUUAUACGUGGGCGUUGGCCUUCCCUUUGAACCGACGCCUGCACCUCUCCUCGCUCCUGUUCGCAGUAGACGUCGCCUAGGUUAUCAGCACCUCUUACACAGAUGUCGUGACACAUCUGCCGCGGUAGGUGAUCGUAUGCUUCACUGCUCAAUCGACGACGGAAAGGCAAAAGUGCGGUGGCGGUAGUUGUCGUCUCGGGGAGUGCUGUGACGAAGAACCACACCCUGUCAGUCUCAGUUUCCACCCUUCACCACCACCACCCCCAUCGAGCGAGGAGAGGUGUGCAGGUGUCCUCCCAGCACAGCCGACACAUACACAUACACAUACAUUAUAUACAUACACAUACACAUACACAUACGGACAUACACGCAUCUCCCUCUCCUGCUCCCUCAUCAUCACAUUGCGUCGACCCUUCUUUGUUCGUUUAUUUUCUUUUGCCUUUUUCCACUCCCCAGCCUUUUUCGCUUCACGAGACGGUUGACAGUUGUGGCUGCUGCGUGUUUUCGUUGAGGAGGUUGCCAGAGUCGGUGCACGUGUGGGUUGUGCUGCCUUGGCAACGUCUCCAGCCCUCCCCUUCUCUUCGGCGAGCGCACGCGUUGCCACGUCUCUGUGGGCCCUUUUCUCAUUUUUUCUGUUUUGUAUUGACUCCACUGCAUUCCUCCCCCCUCUGCCAUCACGUAGCGCGACAUCUUCAGAUACUCGGCCGCGUUUAGUCAUUGCGUGUACCGCUUCGCGCGCGCGUCUAUGUGUGUGUGGGGGGGGGUGUUUACACGUUUCCCGUUAUGUCAACACUCCGGCUUUACUCUGCCGUGCUCAGUGCAACGAUUCUUUGAGUGCGUCUCCCUUCUUGGCACCGUGCCACCUUCCCUGCUUCUUUCUGUGCCUAGUAUCACUGAGGACUAACCCCUUCCCCUUCCUUCCUCGCCUGUCAUCACGCUCACAGAGACGUGCAUUCCGCGCGCUCCUGAGUACUCUGAUGUGGCACUUGCAUGACAUCCUUUGCAGGGUGUCGUGGACGUGGGAGUUUUUCCUGUUUCUCCUCCGCGGCGUCUUCAUCGCCAUUGCGGACCACUAUAUCAUGUACAUCCGCACUGGACGAGUCUGGCUCGGCAAACGGAACCGGGCAGCGUCACUGAUGCGCGGUGACUUGGUCAUGCAGCUGGCCGCCUCAUCACCACGCCACAGCACGGCCAACGAGAAGACGAUCUUUCUUCAGCUGAACCGCUCCUUCAUUGACCGCCGGCUGUGGGCCGGCCUCAACGAGGUGGGCGCCGGCCCGUCAGCGAUCGUCACUGGCGUGUCGUAUGGCGGCAUCGGCUUUUACACUGCGCUCAACUUGCUCCUCAGCGGCGUGAACGUGCACGGAGUGGCGCGCAAUGGGCGGCAGGCCGAGCGAUCACGCUACCUCCUCGCGAGCGCUGUCGACCGUCAAUUGUUGUUGCAUAAGGAGUGGAAUGGGCGAGUGGGGCGUAUGUUUGUUCACGCGUGCGACAUGAGUGACACGGCGGCUGUCUGCAACUUCAGCGACGCUGUCGCGGCAGACCCAGCGCUGCGCAUCAUCAUCUGCAACGCCGGCCCCAUGUGCAGCCCGCCGCGGCUGUCGCAGCAGCAUCUCGAGGAGCAGUUCGCCACGCAUCAUGUUGGGCACAGUCUGCUGAUGCUCCGGCUGCUACAAUGCCGCUUGCAGAGCUCUCGCUCGCAGUCGAUGGCCGUGGCGCUGCCGCCCCCGUGGCGGAUGGUCGUGUUGACAUCUGCGGCAGCGGCGACGGCCAACCCAACGGCGGCGUCCACCUUCCACGAAUGGAGCAGCCAGGAGGAGCUGGAGCACUGUUUCAGCCGCUUCGACGGGUACGGCAACGCGAAGAUGUCGGAGCUGCUUUUCGCCUUCUCGCUGGCUCGCUUUGUUGAACGGCACCGGAUCUUGGCAGCGACCUGCACUGUGAACGUGUUGCACCCCGGGCCGAUUCGCAGCCGAAUCAUACCAAACAGCCAACUCCCGCUGCAAUGGCUGCUCGACGGUGAGGCGGCAGCACUGCUGCGCAUGACACCGGUGAUUGCCUCCAUGUACGUGGUCGACCUCGCCCUCUCGCGUCGCCACGAGCACUCCAACGGCCACUUUUUUCGAAUGGGUCAGGAUCAGACCAUUUAUUACCGCGACAUGGUGAACAACGCGCGCCAGCGUUCCGGCUUCAAGAACUCCACGUUGUUCCCUGGCAUACCGGGCCCGGCUGUGUCGUUAUCGCAUGCGAAGCAGCAAUGGAUGUGGACGGAAACAGUGGACUACUUCGCGACGAAAGAGUUGAUCGACGGUCGCCUCUUCUCCCUCUCGUGAGUGUCCUCUGGAGUUGUCGCGCAGGGUCUUUUCCUCCUCUUCUCUUUUUGCAUGCGAGUGAGCUAGGCGACCUCGUACGCUGCGCCAGCAGCUCUUGCAGCUGAUUUUUUUUUGUUUGCGUCUCCGAUAUGGGUUAUACGACAAGGCUUCUCGCCUCCCACCUGUCAACGACAGCGCUGGCGCGCCUGAACGAGUAUCGCCGGCGAGGAAGACGGAUAGGGAGAGAGGAGAAGGAUAGGGCGUAGGAUGGUUUGCCAGUGUGUGAGCCGCGGUGGGGAAUUGCGGGGCGAAAACACGGAACAGAGGGGUGGCCCCACGCCUUGCCCGAGGCACUCAAUCUGUAAUCCUUUUCUUUUGAUUGAUUUCCUCGCUCGCUCGCUCUCUUCACAGAGAUGCUCAUUGGCCCACGAAUCGCGCACACACGAGCUCGACGCAUUCGCUCUUCGCUCUCUCGGCCCCCAUCCCGCUCGCAGCGUAGAUGACAUGGUUUUGAUCCAGAAGGCGCAUCUCCCAUGUAACGCCCGCACGUGCAGACGGGGUGCCGUGACCACGCUGAGGUGAACAACUCGAGUGCAUUGGCGUGCACUUGCACUCGAAGGGACGCCGCCUCCCUAACACCCUCCUCCUCAUAUCUGGAGGCAGCUGAUGAUCUUUUUACCCCUUUUAUUGGUUGUCUUGUGUGUGUGUGUGUGUUUGCUUGUUGUUUCGCCCUCCUCCGGGCCACCGCUGUCCACCCCCGGCACACCCCUCCUUCUCUUCUAUGCUCGCCGCUUUUCUCUCCGCGCAAG
rnacentral:misc_RNA from 1 species